UACGUAGGGACCGAGCGUUGUCCGGAUUCAUUGGGCGUAAAGAGCUCGUAGGCGGCCACUCAAGUCGAAUGUGAAACCUCGAGGCUUAACCUCGAGCCUGCAUUCGAUACUGGGCGGCUAGAGUCUGGUAGGGGGAUCUGGAAUUCCUGGUGUAGCGGUGGAAUGCGCAGAUAUCAGGAGGAACACCGGUGGCGAAGGCGGGAUCCUGGGCCAGUACUGACGCUGAGGAGCGAAAGCGUGGAGAGCAAACAGG
rnacentral:rRNA from 1 species